UUCUUUGUCAUUUCUUCCUACUAGCUUUCUCUUUGCUUCCUUUAGGUAACAAAAAAAUGAUAACUAUCGUAUUGUACCAAAGACUCCCCAUAGAGAGCGUCAUCAUGCCAUCUCUGCUUGCGAGGAAGCUGAGACACAGAAAUUAAAUGAGUUGUGGAAGAACUUCUCAUUUUAAAAAGAGAGCA
rnacentral:lncRNA from 1 species